GGACGAAGACGCAGAGGACGUAGCACACGCACAGGACGUUGUCCCCCAGGGCGGGGCUCCUCAGGAGCAGAGACGUGGCGAUCCCGAAGGUGGUGAAAUCGGCAAAGUCAUCCAGCUUGGCACCUGGAGGACGGAAACAAUCGGCCGGACCCCACCAGGAGCCAGCCAGCAUGGCCGGAAUCAACCAGGUGGCAUUCCCAAGCCCGGGGUCCGGCAUUUCAGCAAUUCCAGGUGCACCCCCGAGCUAAUAGUCAGGUCCGGAUCCGUAUCCAUGACAACCGUAGGAGGUUUGGAGUGGUUCCAGUAUUCUGAAUGUUGUUGUGAAAGAGCUUGGACCGGGACGUGGUCUCACCCGCUGAGGUUGCUGAGGAUGGAGGACAUGCCCAUCAGCAUGUUGGCGACCG